CCUCAGCUUCUACAGAAGAAGGGUCAUGAGAAUCAACAAGAUGAAGGCUCUGCUGUUCAGUCUUGUCCUUGGUCUGCUUGUUGCCAGUCAAGGUGAAGCUCAGGGAGAUGCCUCACAGUUUACAGGAAGAUGGAUAACCCAUUACGCUGCAGCCAAUAACAUAGAGAAAAUCACCGAGGGUGGGCCAUUCCACAUUCUCAUGCGUUACAUCGAGUUUGAUGAAGAAAAUGGGACAAUACACUUCCACUUUUAUGUCAAGGAGAAUGGAGAAUGCAUAGAAAAAUAUGUCUCAGGCACAAAGGAAGAAAAUUUUUACGCUAUUGACUACGAGGGUCACAAUGAAUUUUGA
rnacentral:lncRNA from 1 species